AGGCACAAAAGACAGUUUGAGAACCAAUGGUGCUAAUUUCAGAAUCAUUCCGACUCUUGACCUUCAUACAGUAUAAACUUUCAAACAUAUUUGGCUUUAUGGG